UACACAGCUCUCUUAAUUCCAACCUCUACUAGUGAGAUCAACUCAAGCCGAACUUUCUCUUAAUAAUCUAAAUGCGGGAGUCAGUGAGAUGAACUCAAAGUCAUACUCAUCUCGACUUAUCACAAAAAGGACUGGGCCCCAAGCGAGACUAGCUCAAGUUGAUUUGCUCGUCCUACCUAUGUCCAUUACCACACACCACACACAUGCCAACCCAUGCACACUGCUCCAAAUUAUCAUCAAACAACAAUCACAACAAUUUCAUCACAUAGAUAUGCAGUACAAAUCAUGCCCAGCGAUUAGCUAUAUAAAUCUAUUUAUAAGUGAUGUAUAGGUAUGCUUUGAAUAUAUAAUAAUAUUGAAAU
rnacentral:misc_RNA from 1 species